rnacentral:rRNA from 1 species
AGCAGCCGCGAUAAUUCCAGCUCCAAUAGCGUAUAUUAAAGUUGUUGCGGUUAAAAAGCUCGUAGUUGAAUUUCGGAGUUUAUCGGUUGGUCGGGCUUCACUGUCCGCACUGGCCUGAUGGAUUCCUACCUUCUGAAUAACCAGCAUGCUAUUAAUUUAGUGCGUUGGGGAAGCAGAGCUAUUACCUUGAAAAAAUUAGAGUGCUUAAAGCAGGCUUAUGCUUGAAUAGAUUAGCACGGAAUAAUAAAAUAGGACGGCUUGGUUCUAUUUUGUUGGUUUCUAGGAUCACCGUAAUGAUUAAUAGGGAUAGUUGGGGCAUUAGUAUUCAAUUGUCAGAGGUGAAAUUCUUGGAUUUAUUGAAGACUAACUACUGCGAAAGCAUUUGCCAAGGAUGUUUUCAUUAAUCAAGAACGAAAGUUAGGGGAUCGAAGACGAUCAGAUACCGUCGUAGUCUUAACCAUAAACUAUGCCGACUAGGGAUCGGACGAAGUUAAUUUUAUAAUGACGCGUUCGGCACCUUACG